rnacentral:rRNA from 1 species
UGGGGAAUCUUAGACGAUGGGGGAAACCCUGAUCUAGCCAUGCCGCGUGAGUGACGAAGGCCUUAGGGUCGUAAAGCUCUUUCGCCAGGGAUGAUAAUGACAGUACCUGGUAAAGAAACCCCGGCUAACUCCGUGCCAGCAGCCGCGGUAAUACGGAGGGGGUUAGCGUUGUUCGGAAUUACUGGGCGUAAAGCGCACGUAGGCGGACCAUUAAGUCAGGGGUGAAAUCCCGGGGCUCAACCCCGGAACUGCCUCUGAUACUGGCGGUCUUGAGUUCGAGAGAGGUGAGUGGAAUUCCGAGUGUAGAGGUGAAAUUCGUAGAUAUUCGGAGGAACACCAGUGGCGAAGGCGGCUCACUGGCUCGAUACUGACGCUCAGGUGCGAAAGCGUGGGGAGCAA